GUCCACGCCGUAAACGUUGAUUACUCGCUGUUGGCAAUACACUGUCAGCGGCUAAGCGAAAGCGUUAAGUAAUCCACCUGGGAAGUACGACCGCAAGGUUGAAACUCAAAGGAAUUGACGGGGGCCCGCACAAGCGGAGGAGCAUGUGGUUUAAUUCGAUGAUACGCGAGGAACCUUACCUGGGCUUAAAUGUUGUUUGACAAUUGCCGAAAGGUGAUCUUCCUUCGGGACAAAUAGCAAGGUGCUGCAUGGCUGUCGU
rnacentral:rRNA from 1 species